rnacentral:rRNA from 1 species
CCCUUAGAUGUUCUGGGCCGCACGCGUGCUACACUGAGUGGAUCAGCGGGUCAGGUUGCGCGAAAGCGUUUCCUAAUCUUUAAAUCCGCUCGUGAUGGGGAUUGACGGUUGCAAUUUUCUGUCAUGAACGAGGAAUACCUUGUAAGCGCGGGUCAUCAUCCCGCGCUGAAUACGUCCCUGCCCUUUGUACACACCGCCCGUCGCUCCUACCGAUUGAGUGGUCCGGUGAAAUGUUCGGAUCGGCCGUUUGUCGCGGUUUCCGCGGCUCGUGGCUGAGAAGUUCAUUAAACCCUCCCACCUAGAGGAAGGAGAAGUCGUAACA